UGAGACGAUAGAGGCGCAGGUUUCAAGAGUAGCCUUCUGCACAGGGCGGGGACAGCCGCAGAAGAGGAAAGGGGAAGCUGCCGAAGGAAGACUAUCCGCCCGGGAGGUCUUCCUGGAAUACUGUAUAAUAUACCGUAUUCUGUCACGAAAAGUGGAGCGCUAUCCGUUUC
rfam:Blautia sp. An46 An46_contig_1, whole genome shotgun sequence.